rnacentral:rRNA from 1 species
UACGUAGGGUGCAAGCGUUAAUCGGAAUUACUGGGCGUAAAGCGUGCGCAGGCGGCUUUGCAAGACAGAUGUGAAAUCCCCGGGCUCAACCUGGGAACUGCAUUUGUGACUGCAUGGCUGGAGUGCGGCAGAGGGGGAUGGAAUUCCGCGUGUAGCAGUGAAAUGCGUAGAUAUGCGGAGGAACACCGAUGGCGAAGGCAGCAUCCUGGACCGAGAUUGACGCUGAGGCGCGAAAGCCAGGGGAGCAAACGGG